GGGGGGAUUAAACUGGAUUUAGGGUUAGGUUUAACUUAAUUUAAGCCUAAACUGAAUUUGAUUUAAGGUUAGGGUUCAUUUAAAGGUUAAGGUCAGGUUAGAGUUAUGUUCAGGUCAGGUUUCAGUUGGGUUUAGGUCAGGUUUCAGUUAAGGUUAGGUUGUUGAGAUCAGGUCUAAGUUAGGUUUAGAUCAGGUAUAAGUUAAGGUCAGGUUCAGGUCAGGCUUCAGUUAGGUCUAUGUCAGGUUCCAGCCAGGUGUAAGUUAAGGCCAGGUGUUAGUUAAGACCAGUUUUCAGCCGGGUUUAAGUCUAGGUUGUUUAGGUCAGGUUUAAGUUAAGGUCAGGUUUAUGUCAGGUUCCAACCAGGUGUAAAUUAAGGCCAGGUUUCAGUUAGGUUUAUGCUGUUUUCUGCUGGUUUCGGUUAAGCCCAGGUUCCAGCCAGCUUUAAGUUAAGGUCAGGUUGAGUUAGGUUUAGGCCAGGUUCCAGUGAGGUUUAUACCAGGUUUCAGUGAGGUUUAUGCCAGGUUCCAGUGAGGUUUAUGCCAGGUUGAAUGAGGUUUAUAUGAGGUUUAAGUGAGGUUUAUGCCAGGUUCCAGUGAGGUUUAUAUCAGGUUUAAGUGAGGUUUAUGCCAGGUUCCAGUGAGGUUUAUACCAGGUUCCAGUGAGUUUAUACCAGGUUCCAGUGAGGUUUAUGCCAGAUUUCAGUGAGGUUUAUGCCAGAUUUCAGUGAGUUUAUGCCAGGUUCCAAUCAGGUUUAUACCAGUUUUCAGUAAGGUUUAUGCCAGGUUUAAGUGAGGUUUAUGCCAGGUUCCAGUGAGUUUAUACCAGGUUCCAGUGAGUUUAUACCAGGUUCCAGUGAGUUUAUACCAGGUUCCAGUGAGGUUUAGGCCAGGUUCUAGUCAGGUUUAUACCAGGUUCCAGUCAGGUUUAUACCAGAUUUCAGUGAGGUUUAUACCAGGUUCCAGUGAGUUUAUACCAGGUUCCAGUGAGGUUUAUACCAGGUUCCAGUGAGGUUUAGGUCAGGUUCCAGUGAGUUUAUGCCAGGUUCCAGUGAGUUUAUACCAGGUUCCAGUCAGGUUUAUGCCAGGUUCCAGUGAGUUU